rnacentral:rRNA from 1 species
CCAAUAGCGUAUAUUAAAGUUGUUGCAGUUAAAAAGCUCGUAGUUGAAUUUCGGGAGCCGCGGGUCGGUUGGGCUUAAUUGUCCAUCACUGGCUCCGCGGGUCUCUUACCUUCUGGCGAGGUCAGAUGUCAUUCAUUUGGUGUCUGGCGGAACCAGGACCAUUACCUUGAAAAAAUUAGAGUGUUUAAAGCAGGCUUUAU